CAGUCAGACACACACAUUUACAGUCUGUCUGACUGCAGUAGUGGAGCUCCGGCAGCAGAAAUCCGGUCGGAAAGGAUUCCUUCCAUUUUUACGCGCAACUUUUCCUCCGUCGGCCGCCUCGCCGCAACGUUUCCACCGCUUCCCCUCGACUGUUUUGGAUUUCUAACAACCAUCUCCCGGCUGUUUCUAACGGGCAACCAGCGAGGAGUGCAAGCCCGCCCGGAAUCGGAUCUCCUGUCACCGGGGUUUGCUUGUUGUCAUUCUCGCACGGAGACGGAGACGCGCAGCCGGAGCGCAGGCAGAAGGGGCAGUUUGUGGACUUGAUAAACUGGACGAGAGGACAAACAGUUACACCAGGUGUGAGAAAACUGAAUGACUUUUGAAGCUACAGAAAGAGCAUCUACAAGCACUUUUGCCUGAAGAAAAAUCAAUCAAAGGUUCUUCUGCCUUUAGAUGAACUGGACACAAAAACAAUGCACAGCAACAUUAGUGUUUUUACAAAAUGGCUAAAGGAGAGAAACACC
ensembl:lncRNA